rnacentral:rRNA from 1 species
UACGUAGGUGGCAAGCGUUGUCCGGAUUUACUGGGCGUAAAGAGCGCGCAGGCGGUCGGCCAAGUCGAGUGUGAAAGCCCCCGGCUCAACUGGGGAGGGUCAUUCGAUACUGGUCGACUCGAAGGCAGGAGAGGGAAGCGGAAUUCCCGGUGUAGUGGUGAAAUGCGUAGAUAUCGGGAGGAACACCAGUGGCGAAGGCGGCUUCCUGGCCUGUUCUUGACGCUGAGGCGGCGAAAGCUAGGGGAGCAAACGGGG